GCCGCGUCUCUACCGAGAGGCGUGGUCCCGGCCGGAAGUUAGGCCACGUGACCCGGAAGCGGCUUUUGCCAAGGCCUGCGCGCCUGCGCGCUCCUGCGCGUACCUUCGGAACUCGGGCGGGCGGCUACCUCACCUAUCCAGUGGUGGGAGCGCAGGGUUCCGAGGUGCCCUUUGUCGACCCCGCUGUGCGGGGCAGGGAAGGUCAGGAUCGCCAAGAGCCAAGUUCGAGCUCCGAUAACUCUCCGUGCCCAAAGAGGGCGGGGCGGGGAGGCGUCACUGCCGGUGGUGAUGGUGAGGAGAGUGAGGGAGUGCUGCACCUCUGGGGAAAACAAGUCAGCUCUGUCGAGGAGCUCGUGCACGCGUUCAGAGGGCCUUUUGCAAUCAUUCUGCCUCCAAACUGCCUGGAAUCCGGCACGUCCUUCCCAUUGCACUGCUACAGCCCUAGACACCUUUUGCCCCAAGCCGUGCGAGUGUCUUUUCCCUGGGCUUGUCUCGCCAGUCCUCAGUGCUGCGGACCUGAUGAAUUACUGUCCGUUCUCUGCCGAAAAGCCCCGACCGCAUCUCGUCUUUGAGAUCCCACUUCCUUCACACGGACUCGCGCCCCCCGCCCCCAAAGCCGCCUGUGUUCCAGUUAAGCCUUGCCGAAGACUUGCUCUGCCUGGCAUGCACUUCCUCUCAAAUGUUACAUCUAUGAAGCCUCACCCUCAAACCCUGAGACAUUUAUUACAAACUCAUUUCUCAUGGAACAAGAGCGUGCACUUUCAUGGUGCGAGGCUGUCUGAUGCUUCCCAGGUUUCAGUGGCCCAGGCAGAUAAAGGAAAAUUGAACAAGGUCAGAAGAGAGAAGAACAGAUCUAUCCUUAAGUAGGAAAGAUAACCGUGUUGCCAGUAUACAGAAGGGGAACAAAUGAAGUAUUUCUGAAAUUGGCCUCCUCUGUUGGAUUUGAAGUCAUGAGUCUGGAUCACAGCAGAUUAUCGUUCAGAUCCAGAUGUUGAAUGGGGGAGCAGGUAAGAAAUUUUAUCUUGCGCUUCAUAGGCAUGUCAAGUGAAAAGAUGAAUUGUAUUUUCUUUUUAAAUGCACAAAUAGAUGGCUAUGAAUUGGACCCUGAAUGAAAAUAUAUUUAGGAUCUAAUCAAAUUUCUAUGAAUUUGAAUACA